UGACGUGAUUGUAGCUGCUAGCAAUUACCACAGGGGCGAGGACCAUAAACUCACCAAUGACGAGUUCUACCUGGCUGAGGUCGCCUUCACUGUGCUGUUUGAUUUGGAAGCCCUGCUGAAAAUCUGGUGUUUGGGCUUCACUGGCUACAUCAGUUCCUCUCUACACAAGUUUGAGUGUCUGCUUGUAUUGGGCACCACCCUGCACAUCUACCCUGAUCUCUACCACUCGCAGUUCACCUACUUCCAGGCAGCUGCAGGGAAUG